rnacentral:rRNA from 1 species
GGAUGCGAUCAUACCAGCACUAAAGCACCGGAUCCCAUCAGAACUCCGAAGUUAAGCGUUCUUAGGUGAGUGUAGUACUAGGAUGGGUGACCUCCUAGGAAGCCCUUCUGACUCGCGCCGC